rnacentral:rRNA from 1 species
GCCCUGAGGCGUGGCUUCCGGAGCUAACGCGUAAUCGACCGCCUGGGGAGUACGCGCAGUAAACUCAAAUGAUGACGGGGCCGCACAGCGUGAGCAUGUGGUUAAUCGAUGCAACGCGAAGAACUUACUACUCUUGACAUCCAGAGAACUUUCCAGAGAUGGAUUGGUGCUUCGGGAACUCUGAGACAGGUGCUGCAUGGCUGUCGUCAGCUCGUGUCAGAAAUGUUGGGUUAAGUCCCGCAACGAGCGCAACCCUUAUCCUUUGUUGCCAGCGGUUCGGCCGGGAACUCAAAGGAGACUGCCAGUGAUAAACUGGAGGAAGGUGGGGAUGACGUCAAGUCAUCAUGGCCCUUACGAGUAGGGCUACACACGUGCUACAAUGGCGUAUACAAAGAGAAGCGACCUCGCGAGAGCAAGCGGACCUCAUAAAGUACGUCGUAGUCCGGAUUGGAGUCUGCAACUCGACUCCAUGAAGUCGGAAUCGCUAGUAAUCGUAGAUCAGAAUGCUACGGUGAAUACGUUCCCGGGCCUUGUACACACCGCCCGUCACACCAUGGGAGUGGGUUGCAAAAGAAGUAGGUAGCUUAACCUUCGGGAGGGCGCUUACCACUUUGUGAUUCAUGACUGGGGUGAAGUCGUAACAAGGUAACC